AUCCAGCUCACGAGCCCAAAAUAGGACGAAACGCGCAUCCUGGAU
rfam:Schistosoma curassoni strain Dakar, Senegal genome assembly, scaffold: SCTD_contig0028420